UACGGAGGAUGCAAGCGUUAUCCGGAUUUAUUGGGUUUAAAGGGUGCGUAGGCGGGCUGUUAAGCGUGAGGUGAAAUGCCACGGCUCAACCGUGGAACUGCCUCGCGAGCUGGCGGUCUAGAAUGCCCCUGCCGUGGGAGGAAUGUGUGGUGUAGCGGUGAAAUGCAUAGAGAUCACACAGAACACCGAUUGCGAAGGCAUCUCACGAAGGGGUGAUUGACGCUGAGGCACGAAAGCGUGGGGGUCAAAC
rnacentral:rRNA from 1 species